rnacentral:lncRNA from 10 species
CUACUGUGGCCUAGAAGUAAUAUGCACCACUUCUGGAACUGGGCAUUGAGGUAUUACUGUCCAAGAAUCCCUUCAACUAAGAUAUCACAUAGAAAUUGAACCACUCUUGGGAACAGAUAGUGAGGACGAGAAAAGAAAAAAAAAGAAGAAGGAAAUUGAAGCACUGACAUAUGAGGGAAUAGUUUUGUAAUGAUUCAAUAAUUACUACAAGCACCACUUGAGGUUAUGCUGGAACUAUUGGCGUAAGAAUCUUAUUACCAGGGAUUCCCCGGCCAGAUGGCCAAAUAGGAACAGCUCCAGUCUGCAGCUCCCAGUGAGACCAAGGCAGAAGUAGUGCCUGGAACUCCAGCAAGACAGAACUGUUCACUCCAAUGGAAAGACGGCUGAAGCCAGGGAGCCAAGAGGUCUUCUCAGUGGAUCCCACCACCAUGGAGCCCAGCAAGCUAAAAUCCACUGGCUUGAAAUUCUUGCUGCCAGCAGAGCAGUCUGAAGUCAACCUGGGAUACUCGAGCUUCGUAGAGGGAGGGGUGUCUGCUAUUACUGAGGCUUGAGUAGGCAGUUUGCCCCUCACAAUGUAAACAAAGCCUCCAGGAAGUUCAGACUAGGUGGAGCCCACUGCAGCGACAAAAAUCCUCUGUUUCCACACUGCCUCUCUAGAUUCCUCCUCUCUGAGCAGGGCAUCCCUAAAAGAAAGGCAGCAGCCGUAGUCAGGGGCUUAUAGAUGAAACUUCCAUCUUCCUGAGACAGAGCCCUUGGGGAAAGGGACGG